rnacentral:rRNA from 1 species
UACGAAGGGGGCUAGCGUUGUUCGGAAUUACUGGGCGUAAAGCGCACGUAGGCGGACUUUCAAGUCAGGGGUGAAAUCCCGGGGCUCAACCCCGGAACUGCCUUUGAUACUGUUGGUCUGGAGCUCGGAAGAGGUGGGUGGAAUUCCUAGUGUAGAGGUGAAAUUCGUAGAUAUUAGGAAGAACACCAGUGGCGAAGGCGGCCCACUGGUCCGAUGCUGACGCUGAGGUGCGAAAGCGUGGGGAGCAAACAGG